rnacentral:misc_RNA from 1 species
AAGUCGUAACAAGGUUUCCGUAGGUGAACCUGCGGCAGGAUCAUUAACACGUAUCCAAACGUUAGAACCCCCCCCGUGAACGUUCAUCCUGCUCUUGUCAACCGCGUACGGUCUACAGGAAUCGUAGAAGCGCUAUCCUUGCACAAUCAAUGACACUUUCCGACACUGACUGCUUGGGGAAACAUUGCCUAUAGAACUACGAUUGUAACUGUUCCAAUGUUCGCACGUAGCCAGAGGUCUCUGAAUCACUACAACUUUCCGGGCUAUAAUUUAUCAGAGCCAAAGGGUCCCCAUGCCCCCUAAUAACCCCACAGUUUAAUGUGAAGCUCAAUGUAAUACAUUGGGUAAAAAAACCGAACAACUGUUAACAAUGGAUAUCUUGGUUCUC